GGAUAUGAGGGAAAUCUGGCUUUGACAUAUAUCACCUCAUUGAUUGUCAGGUUUAUUUGGCUGAUCUGGCUAGCUAAGCAGGUAUCCCACUCCUUCCUUGCUGCUUCAUAUGCAUUCCUCCUGAAGCUACAUGACCAAAGAGGGGCAACCUUCCAUAAUAGAGGAAGAAAGUCCUUUAGUCAAGGGUAUAUAAGUUACUGUCUUCUCUUGCUAAAAACCUCAAAACAGCUCUGAAGGUCCAUUUAUAGGAGAGUGUAAGGUAGUCAAGCUUACAAGACAGCAGACAUAUCCAAAUGAGGCACUGAGUGUGGCAGUCUGCCUUUCUCU
ensembl:misc_RNA 7SK 7SK RNA